AUGACGCUGGCGGAUGCUUUCACAUGCAAGUCGAACGGCAGCACGGGAGCUUGCUCCUGGUGGCGAGUGGCGAACGGGUGAGUAAUAUAUCGGAACGUAUCCAAUAAUGGGGGAUAACUAGUCGAAAGAUUAGCUAAUACCGCAUACGCCCUGAGGGGGAAAGCUGGGGAUCUUCGGACCUAGCGUUAAUGGAGCGGCUGAUAUCUGAUUAGCUAGUAGGUGAGGUAAAGGCUCACCUAGGCUUCGAUCAGUAGCUGGUCUGAGAGGACGACCAGCCACACUGGAACUGAGACACGGUCCAGACUCCUACGGGAGGCAGCAGUGGGGAAUUUUGGACAAUGGGCGCAAGCCUGAUCCAGCCAUUCCGCGUGAGUGAAGAAGGCCUUCGGGUUGUAAAGCUCUUUCGCAAGGGAAGAAAACUUAAGCUCUAACAUAGCUUGAGGCUGACGGUACCUUGAUAAGAAGCACCGGCUAACUACGUGCCAGCAGCCGCGGUAAUACGUAGGGUGCGAGCGUUAAUCGGAAUUACUGGGCGUAAAGCGUGCGCAGGCGGUCUUGCAAGACAGGUGUGAAAUCCCCGGGCUUAACCUGGGAACUGCACUUGUGACUGCAAGGCUGGAGUACGGCAGANGGGGAUGGAAUUCCGCGUGUAGCAGUGAAAUGCGUAGAUAUGCGGAGGAACACCGAUGGCGAANGCAAUCCCCUGGGCCUGUACUGACGCUCAUGCACGAAAGCGUGGGGAGCAAACAGGAUUAGAUACCCUGGUAGUCCACGCCCCUAAACGAUGUC
rnacentral:rRNA from 1 species